GCGGAGGGAUCAUUACAGAGUUAUACAACUCCCAUACCAUCUGUUAACCUACCCAGUUAUGCCUCGGCGUAAGCUCGGUUGGAGGCACCUGCAGCUACCCUGUAGUUGCGGACUGCCAACUCCAGCCGCGGCCCGCCGGCGGUACACUAAACUCUGUUUUAUUUUAUAUUCUGAGCGUCUUAUUUUAAUAAGUUAAAACUUUCAACAACGGAUCUCUUGGUUCUGGCAUCGAUGAAGAACGCAGCGAAAUGCGAUAAGUAAUGUGAAUUGCAGAAUUCAGUGAAUCAUCGAAUCUUUGAACGCACAUUGCGCCCAUCAGUAUUCUGGUGGGCAUGCCUGUUCGAGCGUCAUUUCAACCCUUAAGCCUAGCUUAGUGUUGGGAAUCUGCUGUACUGCAGUUCCUUAAAGACAGUGGCGGAGCGGCGGUAGUCCUCUGAGCGUAGUAAUUUAUUUCUCGCUUUUGUCAGGCUCUGUCCUCCCGCCAUAAAACCCCCAAUUUUUUAGUGGUUGACCUCGGAUCAGGUAGGAAUACCCGCUGAACUUAAGCAUAUCAAUA
rnacentral:rRNA from 1 species